rnacentral:tRNA from 1 species
GCGCGAGUGGUGGAAUUGGUAGACACGCUAGCCUUAGGAGCUAGUGAGGAAACUCGUGGAGGUUCAAGUCCUCUCUCGCGCACCA